CGGGGCGUAGCGCAGGUGGGAGCGCGCGGCGCUUGGGACGCCGAGGUCGGAGGUUCAAAUCCUCUCGCCCCGACCA
rnacentral:tRNA from 3 species